rnacentral:rRNA from 1 species
AUUGAACGCUGGCGGCAGGCCUAACACAUGCAAGUCGAACGAGUGGCGGACGGGUGAGUAAUGUCUGGGUCACUGCCUGAUGGAGGGGGAACACCACUGGAAACGGUCGCUUAUCCCACAUACUCUCGGAUGUGCCCAGAUGGGUUUAGCUAGUAGGUGGGGUAAAGGCUCACAUAGGCGACGAUCCCUAGGUGGUCUGAGAGGAUGACCAGCCACACUGGAACUGAGACACGGUCCAGACUCCUACGGGAGGCAGCAGUGGGGAAUAUUGCACAAUGGGCGCAAGCCUGAUGCAGCCAUGCCGCGUGUAUGAAGAAGGCCUUCGGGUUGUAAAGUACUUUCAGCGGGGAGGCGUUACCGGCAGAAGAAGCACCGGCUAACUCCGUGCCAGCAGCCGCGGUAAUAC